AGUGAACGCUGGCGGUAGGCCUAACACAUGCAAGUCGAACGGCAGCACAGUAAGAGCUUGCUCUUACGGGUGGCGAGUGGCGGACGGGUGAGGAAUACAUCGGAAUCUACUUUUUCGUGGGGGAUAACGUAGGGAAACUUACGCUAAUACCGCAUACGACCUACGGGUGAAAGCAGGGGAUCUUCGGACCUUGCGCGAUUGAAUGAGCCGAUGUCGGAUUAUCUAGUUGGCGGGGUAAAGGCCCACCAAGGCGACGAUCCGUAGCUGGUCUGAGAGGAUGAUCAGCCACACUGGAACUGAGACACGGUCCAGACUCCUACGGGAGGCAGCAGUGGGGAAUAUUGGACAAUGGGCGCAAGCCUGAUCCAGCCAUACCGCGUGGGUGAAGAAGGCCUUCGGGUUGUAAAGCCCUUUUGUUGGGAAAGAAAAGCAGCAGGUUAAUACCCCGCUGUUCUGACGGUACCCAAAGAAUAAGCACCGGCUAACUUCGUG
rnacentral:rRNA from 1 species